rnacentral:rRNA from 1 species
GAUGAACGCUGGCGGCGUGCCUAAUACAUGCAAGUCGAGCGAACAGACGAGGAGCUUGCUCCUUUGACGUUAGCGGCGGACGGGUGAGUAACACGUGGGUAACCUACCUAUAAGACUGGGAUAACUUCGGGAAACCGGAGCUAAGACCGGAUAAUAUUUCGAACCGCAUGGUUCGAUAGUGAAAGAUGGCUUUGCUAUCACUUAUAGAUGGACCUGCGCCGUAUUAGCUAGUUGGUAAGGUAACGGCUUACCAAGGCAACGAUACGUAGCCGACCUGAGAGGGUGAUCGGCCACACUGGAACUGAGCCACGGUCCAGACUCCUACGGGAGGCAGCAGUAGGGACUCUUCCGCAAUGGGCGAAAGCCUGACGGAGCAACGCCGCGUGAGUGAUGAAGGUCUUCGGAUCGUAAAACUCUGUUAUUAUGGAAGAACAAACGUGUAAGUAACUGUGCACGUCUUGACGGUACCUAAUCAGAAAGCCACGGCUAACUACGUG